rnacentral:rRNA from 1 species
UCGCGCCUACGGGAGGCAACAGUGAGGAAUAUUGGUCAAUGGCCGGAAGGCUGAACCAGCCAAGCCGCGUGAAGGACGAAGGUGCCAAGCACUGUAAACUUCUUUUGUCAAGGGACAAAAUCAGGCUCGAGAGCCUGACCGAGGGUACUUGAAGAAAAAGCAUCGGCUAACUUCGUGCCAGCAGCCGCGGUAAUACGGAGGAUGCGAGCGUUAUCCGGAUUUAUUGGGUUUAAAGGGUGCGUAGGCGGACUGUCAAGUCAGCGGUAAAAGCCCGGGGCUCAACCCCGGCGAGCCGUUGAAACUGG